rnacentral:tRNA from 1 species
GCCAGAGUGGCGGAAUGGUAGACGCAGUGGACUCAAAAUCCACCGGGGGCAACCUCGUGCCGGUUCGAGUCCGGCCUCUGGUACCA